rnacentral:rRNA from 1 species
AUGGUGGCAACUGCAUUAUUACCGUCGUCAAGCGCCACCCUCACCAAGUCCGGCGAGAACCUGUUCAAGUUUGCCUUCGUCGCGCUCAUCGAUACGGUCCUCGACGAUGUCAUCGCCACCACCCCACCAGCCAAAAUACCCGAAGUACAAGCGGCCGCGGAGAAGCAGGUGCAAGUCGCUAUUGCCAAAGUGGACACGGCCAAAGGAGACAAGGCGAAAUUAGAUGCGUUAAUGUUGGCCUACAAGAAGGCCGGUGAGCAAGUCCUCGCCACGCCGCCCGCUCAGAAGUUCUCGGUCAUGGAGAAAGGCUUUACUGAGGCUGCUUCUAGCCUAACUCUGUAA